rnacentral:misc_RNA from 1 species
UCUCCGUUGGUGAACCAGCGGAGGGAUCAUUACAGGACUCGAAAGACUCCCGUAACCCCUGUGAACAUACCUAUAUUCGUUGCCUCGGCGGGUGCUCCGGUUCACUCCGGGGCGCUACGCCCGCCGGUGGCCCCUUUAACUCUGUUACCUAUAAGUAAUCUGAGCGUACUUUAAAAAUAAAGUCAAAACUUUCAACAACGGAUCUCUUGGUUCUGGCAUCGAUGAAGAACGCAGC